rnacentral:rRNA from 1 species
GAUGAACGCUGGCGGCGUGCCUAAUACAUGCAAGUCGAGCGAACAGACGAGGAGCUUGCUCCUCUGACGUUAGCGGCGGACGGGUGAGUAACACGUGGAUAACCUACCUAUAAGACUGGGAUAACUUCGGGAAACCGGAGCUAAUACCGGAUAAUAUAUUGAACCGCAUGGUUCAAUAGUGAAAGACGGUUUUGCUGUCACUUAUAGAUGGAUCCGCGCCGCAUUAGCUAGUUGGUAAGGUAACGGCUUACCAAGGCAACGAUGCGUAGCCGACCUGAGAGGGGGAUCGGCCACACUGGAACUGAGACACGGUCCAGACUCCUACGGGAGGCAGCAGUAGGGAAACUUCCGCAAUGGGCGAAAGCCUGACGGAGCAACGCCGCGUGAGUGAUGAAGGUCUUCGGAUCGUAAAACUCUGUUAUUAGGGAAGAACAAAUGUGUAAGUAACUAUGCACGUCUUGACGGUACCUAAUCAGAAAGCCACGGCUAACUACGUG